rnacentral:rRNA from 1 species
AUACGUAGGGGGCGAGCGUUGUCCGGAAUGAUUGGGCGUAAAGGGCGCGUAGGCGGCGCGGUAAGUCUGGAGUGAAAGUCCUGCUUUCAAGGUGGGAAUUGCUUUGGAUACUGCCGCGCUUGAGUGCAGGAGAGGUUAUCGGAAUUCCCGGUGUAGCGGUGAAAUGCGUAGAGAUCGGAAGGAACACCAGUGGCGAAGGCGGGUAACUGGACUGCAACUGACGCUGAGGCGCGAGAGUGUGGGGAGCAAACAGGAUUAGAUACCCUGGUAGUCCACGCCGGAAACGAUGAAUACUAGGUGUCGGGUUUCUAUAGAGAUUCGGUGCCGCAGCAAACGCAAUAAGUAUUCCACCUGGGGAGUACGGCCGCAAGGUUGAAACUCAAAGGAAUUGACGGGG